CUUAUUUUGAGUUUCUUGCCGUUUUUCUGUGUGUAGCGUUUCUGUCCUGCGCUCUUAUUUUGGUGGCUUUUCCUGUUUUGUUUGUGUUUUCACGCAUUAGCUUCACUCCUGUCUCAGAGCACCUGUUUUCUGUUAGCAAUCAGGACUAUUUAAAGGGGGACGGCACUUUUUUUUGAAGUUUUGUCUAUCGUUCACAAUCAUUCUGAGAGACAAGAACACUUGUUUUUUUUGUUUUUGACGAUUUUAAAGAUGAUUAAAAAAAACAGCAAAGGGUAGUCACCGUUGUAGCCUUCAAAGCCCUCUAAAACAACUUCAAAACCCUCCAACAACGGUUGGUAUACACACUGUGCUUUGAGCAUGCCGUCCUUUCCCAAAGAACCUUUCCCGUCCUUGGCAGAAGAGCGUGGACUAUUACGUCGGGGCAGCUGCUUCAUGAAGUUUUUAAGUCCCCUCUUCUUCUCGUCCGGUUCCUCCUACCCAGCCAGGCCUUUCUCCAAACGGGACAGUAAGUGUUCGCUGGAGGAAAGCUUGGAGGACCAGACGACUCUCAGCUUUGACCUCAAGCAGGGAAAUGGAGGAGACGGAAGAAGAGCGACCCAUUGUCUUUGACAUCUAAAGGUCCACACACGAGCUUCCCACUUGAGCCAGUCCUUACAUGGGAAGGAUACGGGAUGGGAUCGUAUUAAGGCGAGCAAACCGACCCUACUGGGGGAAUGUCAGAUCCAGUUGAUGAAUGAGCUGAUGCAGCACACUCGCUGUCAUCUCUUCCCCUCAUCUGACAUAUGCAUUUGCUUCUUUCCCAACAUACUGCUGUUUAGAAAGCAACAAAAUUACAUUCAAAUAAUUCACUUGCAUUUUUGGAAGAUUGCACCAAACUAAAGACCGAGUCAGUGGAGCAGGUUAAGAGCCAAGUAAUGCCUUUGGCAUGUCUGAGCUCAUCUCCACUUUCAGCCACUUUGCAGUCUUCAUCUCGACCUGAUCUCCUCGUCUCGCUCUGUCCAACUCAGCUGUCUCCCAAUGCUCCUUGCCUGUCAGCAGUUCAAACUGCAACCCUGGGACCGGAGGCAGAAGAGAAAAAAAAUUACAAAAAUGGAUCUAUAGAUAAAUAUGUACAGUGGUUACCGCGGUUUUUCUUCAUAAUUUGUAAAUCCAAUGAAUUGGUUUCACACACCCAGAAAUGUCAACCUAAAACACAAUUUAUAGAGAAUAAUUACUAACAUAAACGGGUGACAGUGGGUGGUACAGAGAACAUGACAGGAACUAUCAAUAGGCUGACCAUAUUGUGAAAUCCCAAAAAGAGGACACAUAUAUGCGUGCCAAGGCGGGCAGCACUAGGUGAAAAUUUGCCAAUGAUACUCGAACUUGCUUUAUAAAUAAUAUAUUU